UAAGACUUAUAAACAUCUAGUUUAUAUCUUUUGAAUGCAACUCAAACACUUUAAUUAAGCUAAAGCCUCA
rnacentral:tRNA from 1 species